UUCCGGUUGAUCCCGCCAGACCUGACUGCUAUCGGAUUGAUACUAAGCCAUGCGAGUCAUUGUAGUAAUACAAGGCAUACGGCUCAGUAACGCGUAGUCAACCUAACCUAUGGACGGGAAUAACCUCGGGAAACUGAGUAUAAUGCCCGAUAGAACAUUAUGCCUGGAAUGGUUUAUGUUCCAAAUGAUUUAUCGCCGUAGGAUGGGACUGCGGCCUAUCAGUUUGUUGGUGAGGUAAUGGCCCACCAAGACUAUUACAGGUACGGGCUCUGAGAGGAGUAGCCCGGAGAUGGGUACUGAGACACGGACCCAGGCCCUAUGGGGCGCAGCAGGCGAGAAAACUUUGCAAUGUGCGAAAGCACGACAAGGUUAAUCCGAGUGGUUUCUGCUAAAGGAACCUUUUGUUAGUCCUAGAAACACUAACGAAUAAGGGGUGGGCAAGUUCUGGUGUCAGCCGCCGCGGUAAAACCAGCACCUCAAGUGGUCAGGAUGAUUAUUGGGCCUAAAGCAUCCGUAGCCGGCUCUGUAAGUUUUCGGUUAAAUCUGUACGCUCAACGUACAGGCUGCCGGGAAUACUGCAGAGCUAGGGAGUGGGAGAGGUAGACGGUACUCGGGAGGAAGGGGUAAAAUCCUUUGAUCUCUCGAUGACCACCUGUGGCGAAGGCGGUCUACCAGAACACGUCCGACGGUGAGGGAUGAAAGCUGGGGGAGCAAACCGGAUUAGAUACCCGGGUAGUCCCAGCUGUAAACUAUGCAAACUCAGUGAUGCAUUGACUUGUGGUCAAUGCAGUGCUGCAGGGAAGCCGUUAAGUUUGCCGCCUGGGAAGUACGUACGCAAGUAUGAAACUUAAAGGAAUUGGCGGGGGAGCACCACAAGGGGUGAAGCCUGCGGUUCAAUUGGAUUCAACGCCGGG
rnacentral:rRNA from 1 species